GCAAAACGCGAAGAACCUUACCUACUCUUGACAUCCAGAGAACUUUCCAGAGAUGGAUUGGUGCCUUCGGGAACUCUGAGACAGGUGCUGCAUGGCUGUCGUCAGCUCGUGUUGUGAAAUGUUGGGUUAAGUCCCGCAACGAGCGCAACCCUUAUCCUUUGUUGCCAGCGGUUAGGCCGGGAACUCAAAGGAGACUGCCGGUGAUAAACUGGAGGAAGGUGGGGAUGACGUCAAGUCAUCAUGGCCCUUACGAGUAGGGCUACACACGUGCUACAAUGGCGCAUACAAAGAGAAGCGACCUCGCGAGAGCAAGCGGACCUCAUAAAGUGCGUCGUAGUCCGGAUUGGAGUCUGCAACUCGACUCCAUGAAGUCGGAAUCGCUAGUAAUCGUGGAUCAGAAUGCCACGGUGAAUACGUUCCCGGGUCUUGUACACACCG
rnacentral:rRNA from 1 species